GGCCUGGUGGUCUAGUAGUAUGAUUCCUUCUUAGGGAUGUCGGCUUAGUCAUGCAUGGAGGAGGCCCCGGGUUCAAUUCCCGGCCAGGCCC